UACGUAGGUGACAAGCGUUGUCCGGAUUUACUGGGCGUAAAGAGCGCGCAGGCGGUCGUUCAAGUCGAGUGUGAAAGCCCCCGGCUCAACUGGGGAGGGUCACUCGAUACUGAUCGACUUGAAGGCAGGAGAGGGAAGCGGAAUUCCCGGUGUAGUGGUGAAAUGCGUAGAUAUCGGGAGGAACACCAGUGGCGAAGGCGGCUUCCUGGCCUGUUCUUGACGCUGAGGCGCGAAAGCUAGGGGAGCAAACGGG
rnacentral:rRNA from 1 species